rnacentral:rRNA from 1 species
UGGCGGACGGGUGAGUAACGCGUGGGUAACCUGCCUCAUACAGGGGGAUAACAGUUAGAAAUGACUGCUAAUACCGCAUAAGACCACAGCACCGCAUGGUGCAGGGGUAAAAACUCCGGUGAUAUGAGAUGGACCCGCGUCUGAUUAGGUAGUUGGUGGGGUAACGGCCUACCAAGCCGACGAUCAGUAGCCGACCUGAGAGGGUGACCGGCCACAUUGGGACUGAGACACGGCCCAA